rnacentral:misc_RNA from 1 species
AUUUGGCGGAUACAGCUUACAGUGCAAUCUGGAGGGAGUCUGAAUCAUACGCUGAGUUAAUAGGACCUUAUUGGUCUCUUCGUGCUGCCCUGGGCCCCGUUUUGGAAACUCUUAUACUGCUUGACCGAUUGUUGCUCCUCCAGGAGUAUGGCAGUGAUCUGGAGGCAAGCCUCUUACCUAUUUUUAAUCCUGUGUUAUCUCCGAGGAAUAUGGCUAUCAUAG